UACGAAGGGGGCUAGCGUUGUUCGGAAUUACUGGGCGUAAAGCGUGCGCAGGCGGUUGUGUAAGACAGAUGUGAAAUCCCCGGGCUCAACCUGGGAACUGCAUUUGUGACUGCAUCGCUGGAGUGCGGCAGAGGGGGAUGGAAUUCCGCGUGUAGCAGUGAAAUGCGUAGAUAUGCGGAGGAACACCGAUGGCGAAGGCAAUCCCCUGGGCCUGCACUGACGCUCAUGCACGAAAGCGUGGGGAGCAAACAGG
rnacentral:rRNA from 1 species